ACCAUUGUGAACGUUACCUAAACCGUUGCUUCGGCGGGCGGCCCGGGUCCUUCCCGGCGCCCCUCGGCCCUCGCGGGCGCCCGCCGGAGGUAAACCAAACUAUUGCAUUGUAUGGCCUCUCUGAGUCUUCUGUACUGAAUAAGUCAAAACUUUCAACAACGGAUCUCUUGGUUCUGGCAUCGAUGAAGAACGCAGCGAAAUGCGAUAAGUAAUGUGAAUUGCAGAAUUCAGUGAAUCAUCGAAUCUUUGAACGCACAUUGCGCCCGCCAGUAUUCUGGCGGGCAUGCCUGUUCGAGCGUCAUUUCAACCAUCAAGCCCCGGGCUUGUGUUGGGGACCUGCGGCUGCCGCAGGCCCUGAAAUGCAGUGGCGGGCUCGCUGUCACUCCGAGCGUAGUAGUUACAUCUCGCUCUGGGCGUGCUGCGGGUUCCGGCCGUUAAAAGCCUUAUUUACCCAAGGUUGACCUCGGAUCAGGUAGGAAGACCCGCUGAACUUAAGCAUAUCAAUAAGCGGAGGAA
rnacentral:rRNA from 1 species